UAAUACGUAGGGUGCGAGCGUUGUCCGGAAUUAUUGGGCGUAAAGGGCUCGUAGGCGGUUUGUCGCGUCGGGAGUGUAAUCCUCGUGCUUAACACGGGGCUUGCUUUCGAUACGGGCAGACUGGAGGCAUGCAGGGGAGAACGGAAUUCCUGGUGUAGCGGUGAAAUGCGCAGAUAUCAGGAGGAACACCGGUGGCGAAGGCGGUUCUCUGGGCAUGUCCUGACGCUGAGGAGCGAAAGUGUGGGGAGCGAACAGG
rnacentral:rRNA from 1 species